UACAGAGGUCUCAAGCGUUGUUCGGAAUUACUGGGCGUAAAGGGCUCGUAGGUGGCCAACUAAGUCAGACGUGAAAUCCCUCGGCUUAACCGGGGAACUGCGUCUGAUACUGGAUGGCUUGAGUUUGGGAGAGGGACGCGGAAUUCCAGGUGUAGCGGUGAAAUGCGCAGAUAUCAGGAAGAACACCCGUGGCUAAGGCGGCUCUCUAGUACGGUACUGACGCUGAGACGCGAAAGCGUGGGGAGCGAACAGG
rnacentral:rRNA from 1 species